GAUGAACGCUGGCGGCGUGCUUAAUACAUGCAAGUCGAGCGAACGGACGCGAAGCUUGCUGUUCUGAUGUUAGCGGCGGACGGGUGAGUAACACGUGGAUAAUCUACCUUUAUUACUGGGAUCACUUCGGGAAACGGGAGCUAACACCGGAUACUAUUUUGAACCGCAUGGUGCAAAAGUGAAAGACGGUUUUGCUGUCACUUAUACAUGGAUCCGCGCUGCAUUAGCUAGUUGGUAAGGUAUCGGCUUACCAAGGCAACGAUGCAUAGACGACCUGAGAGGGUGAUCGGCCACACUGGAACAGAGACACGGUCCAGACUCCUACGGGAGGCAGCAGUGGGGAAUCUUCCACAAUGGGCGAAAGCCUGACAGAGCAACGCCGCGUGGGUGAUGGAGGUCUUCGGAUCGUAGAGCUGUGUUAUUAGGGAAGAACAGAUGUGGAAGUAACUGUGGACAUCUUGACGGUACCUAAUCAGGAAGCCACGGCUAACUACGUG
rnacentral:rRNA from 1 species